rnacentral:lncRNA from 1 species
UACCUGUUCCCCUGAGAAGUUGUAGAGGGAUCGAAUGUCUGAGCCAUUAAGGAUGGUGACCUGGGAGAUGAAGAGAUAGGCCCAUUGGUCCUGGACUCCCAGAAUAUCCCAUGGUUAAAGAACAGAUGUGUACAGGACACCCAGGGGCAGGCAUUCCUUAGAGACGCAGACCACUGUCCCUAGCUCCCUCUUCAGCUUUGCCCUCAUAUUCCCACCUCUAUGCCAGGUAGUUCCACCCUAUGUCUGCUUCACUAUUUUUCUCCCUAUCAAUCACCAACCACUGACAGAUUUUGUAUUUAUCUGUUCGUUGUCCCUCUCUACCCACUAGAAUGUAAGAUCAAUAGGGGCAGGAACUUGAUUUUGUUCUUUGCUUUCUCCUCAGAACCUAAAGUCAUGCUUGGUGAGUAGUAGGCACUCAAUAAUAAUUAUGACUGAAUGUGUGCUGGUGCCUCAAACCCAUCACGUUCAAAACCUAAGUCAUCCUCAUCCUCCAGUCCCCCGAACCACAAACACCAUUUCUCCCCUAUAUUCCCUUAGUGACUGGCCCCACCAGGCCUCUUGAAUCCUGGUGUGAGCCCUUUCCCAGGACUGCUGGACAGAUGUCUUGACAAUGUCCCUGCCUCCAGCUCUCCCAGCAGAUCUAGGAGGCUACCUCUGGCUUGGAAAUCCAGUGGCCCCCUGCAGUCACUGCCCAAAGUCUCAACUUCUUGGCUGGUCCUCCAAAGCUCUGGAGAAUCUGGCCCUAACCUAUCUGUUUUUGCUCAACCUUUCCAUAUUCUACUCAUCCUCAAUCAGCUCAUGAGUCUGCUAAGUUGGGCUGAAAUUGUUUCCUUUUCUUCCACCUCAUUCAUGCUCCUGCACAGGAUGCCCUCCUGCCUCAUCUCUGCUGAACCUUCAUAGAACCUUCUCUCAUCUGUCCUCUUCCUUUUUAAAAAUUUAAAAUUUUUAUUUCCUGACUCCCCAAACUUGUUACCAUCCUUUUCCUAGAAAGGAGAUUAUUCUUUCCCCUAAACUGCUAUGCCACUGUAUCCACUUUGCUGAAGUUUACCAAAAUGCAGAAAGAAUGCUGAUUUUGGAUUAAGAGAGACCUGAUUUUAAACCUACUUACUAACUGGGUGAUCUUAAGCAACUUACUUGGUCUCUUAGAACCUCAGUGUUCUCAUAUGCAAAAUACAGAUGAUAAUAUCUACCCCAUAGGCUUGUUGUGAAGAAUAGAAAUCAUGAAUAGAUAGUGCCUGAUGCACUGAGUAGAGAAUGAAUAGUUGCUCCACUUUAGAUCAUAAUUGUAUGUGUGUCUUAUCUAACAUACUUGAUUAGAAGCAUCUUAUAAGAUGGGGUAUGAUACCUUAUUCAUCUUAUCUCUUACCUUGCCUUAAUAAAUGUUGUUAAUUGAAUGAAAUCCGAUGGCACUCUUAUCUGUAUCUUUUAAAAAGCACUUGUCCUGGUCUAAUAAUAACAUCUGCCAGUUGUACAUUGCCUAACAAUUCACUGAGUACUUUCACAUGCAUUUUCUCAUUUCAUCCUUGCCAGAGCCUCGUGAGGUCAGAACGAUUGUUAUCCCAGUAUACAGAGAAGAAGAAGGCUCAGAGAGGUUCAGCAGGAAGCAGAGUAUGAAUAAAGAGCAGAAUGAUUCUGCCAGAGUAAGUGCCAGAACUUGAAUGCCAGUCUGCCUCCAGAGCCCAUGUUCUGAUCCACCUUUUUGAGCCCUUGCAAACUGCCAUGCACGGUUCUUUGUGAUUAGGCAGGGGAGGAGAGGAAGUGAGGGGUCAGGCUGGGUCUUACAUAGCCGUAAGUGAGGUUCCCUUUGGGCACACCAGCAACAAAGUCUG